UCAGCCACAUUGGGACUGAGAUACGGCCCAGACUCCUACGGGAGGCAGCAGUGGGGAAUAUUGGACAAUGGGGGAAACCCUGAUCCAGCGACACCGCGUGGGGGAUGAAGGCUUUCGGGUUGUAAACCCCUUUUCUGGGGGAAGAAUAAGUUCGAGAGGAAAUGCUCGAGCGAUGACGGUACUCCAGGAAUAAGCAUCGGCAAACUUCGUGCCAGCAGCCGCGGUAAGACGAAGGAUGCAAGCGUUAUCCGGAAUUACUGGGCGUAAAGGGCGUCUAGGCGGUUGGGCAAGUCACUUGUGAAAUCCCUCGGCUUAACCGAGGACGGUCUCGUGAUACUGCCUGACUUGGGUGCAGGAGAGGAGAGUGGAACUCAUAGAGUAGCGGUGGAAUGCGCAGAUACUAUGAGGUACCCCGAUGGCGAAGGCAACUCUCUGGCCUGCUACCGACGCUGAAGCGCGAAAGCGUGGGGAGCAAAGGGGAUUAGAUACCCCCGUAGUCCACGCCGCAAACGAUGUUCACUGGGUGUCGGACGCUUAAUGUAGUUCGGUGCCGAAGCUAACGCGAUAAGUGAACCGCCUGGGGAGUACGGCCGCAAGGCUAAAACUCAAGAGAAUUGACGGGUCCCCGCACAAGCGGUGGAGCACGUGGCUUAAUUCGAUGAUAAACGAAGAACCUCACCUGGGUUUGACAUGCUAGUGGUAGGAACCUGAAAGGGGGACGACCCUUUUCUUCGGAUUUGGGAGCUAGCACAGGUGAUGCAUGGCUGUCGUCAGCUCGUGUCGUGGGAUGUAGGGUUAAGUCCCGAAACGAGCGCAACCCCCGUCGUCAGUUGCCAGCGGAUCAUGCCGGGGACUCUGGCGAGACAGCCGGUUAAACGCCGGAGGAAGGAGGGGAUGACGUCAAGUCAUCAUGUCCCUUACGCCCAGGGCGGCACACAUGCUACAAUGGGGGGUACAAAGGGUUGCAAUGUCGUAAGGCGGAGCGAAUCUCAAAAAGCCCUCCUCAGUUCGGAUUGAGGUCUGAAACUCGACCUCAUGAAGCCGGAAUCGCUAGUAAUCGCAGGUCAGCCAUACUGCGGUGAAUAUGUACUCGGGGAUUGUACACACCGCCCGUCACACCAACCGAGUGGGGGGUGCCUGAAGUCGCCUUUUUGAAGGUGCCCAGGGUAACCUUCGCGAGAGGGGUGAAGUCGUAACAAGGUA
rnacentral:rRNA from 1 species